UACGGAGGGUGCGAGCGUUGUCCGGAAUCACUGGGCGUAAAGGGCGCGUAGGCGGCCGUGUAAGUCACUUGUGAAAUCCCGGGGCUCAACUCCGGGGCUGCAGGUGAGACUGCGUGGCUAGAGCACGGUAGAGGCGAGUGGAAUUCCCGGUGUAGCGGUGGAAUGCGUAGAGAUCAGCAGGAAUACCCGUGGCGAAGGCGGCCCCCUGGGCCGUUUCUGACGCUGAGGCGCGAAGGCUAGGGGAGCGAACGGG
rnacentral:rRNA from 1 species